AGCAGAUGGCCUCCGCCCCCACCCCCGGGAGGAUUUCUUAAUGGUGUGCAAGUGCCACUCCCCGAAGCCAGGGUUUCCGGACCCCCGGGGCCGAGCUGGGCGCGGGAGCCCCGCAGGGGCGGAGAGGCCGGCCGAGCCUGAAGAAGUGGAGGAGAGACCUACACAACUUCAGUGGGGUGUCCCCAUCCCGUCUUCCUGCUCGCCCUCCUUUGCCCCCAACUCCAUCUCUGAGACAUCCUGCCCUCCCCCGCCCCCCAAAAAGAAGUCACUCCAGGGCUCUGUCUGCAGAGAGCCAGGGUGAGAGCGGGCAAGGCGAGAGAGCGACCUCGGUCGUGGGCAAGUAGCUUGUUUUUACGUCCUUCAAUAAAAAUUUUAUGAGGAUCA